UACGACCAUCCAUUUUAAAAAAAAAACUGAAAAGGAAAUAAAAAAGUUUUUGUCUUGAUGCUUCUUUCUAAAACGACGAUUUCAAUGGCGAUUCGAUGCUGUUGAAAUUAAAAAUCCAUGGUGGUAAAGACCAAAACAAUUGCUUGAAGAGGUGACUACUGAGGGUUGCAAAUCAAAGAAAACUGAUUAAUCUGAUUUGGAAACAAAGUCAAACCGACGCUUCAAAACUUGGUAGAUCCACCGGAGAUCUCACCUAUUCCGAUAUCUUUAAGUCAUAUUCUCUAACUUUUUCUUUUAGAUUUUAUAGAUUCUUUACCCAACUCUAACAUCGAUCAAGAUCUAAUAAAAAAAAUCUUAACUGUUUUGCAUGUCAAAUCUGAAGGCAUCAAUGAGAAGAAAGAUGAGUUUGAGAUGGUUGUCGAUUUUGUCUUUUCAGAUCUCUUUCUCAUUAGAAGCUUUCGAUGUUUGGAUUUUCAUGUUAGAAGCCAUAGGUUUCUUUGAGGCAGUGUUUUUGGCGGUAGUGGUUCCAACAAGAAGAGGGGCUUCGCUAUUUAUAAUAUGUAUAAGGUUAAAGGGAGAGAUGCAUAGGUUAUUGGGUAAACUUGGGGCGUACUCCAAAUCGUAUCAUACUAUAUUUUCUAAACUAUAAAAUCGAUACCGUCCCCUAUAUAUAUUAAUCCUGUAGUAUUGCAACACGUUCAGAAUAUUCAUCAAUCUAAAGAGAGUAAACAAUGUGAUUUUGUAUUUUGAGAUUUUAGAAGCUUGGUUUACGAGUUAAUUAAAGACUCUGGGUAUUGAGACUUUAGUGCUUAAAUCAUUCACAAGAAUUUAUUAAAUAAUUUAUAAGGGCUUGCAAAUUUCAAUUGUUAUUUAGGGUCUGUAGAGUCGAAGCUUAGUUUAAGUACUAGUCAAGAGAGAGGAAAUAGUGAUAGUGGUUGCUAGAGAAUUGUAUUGUCAACAAACAAAGAUCAACGUCAAGAACAUUGUUUCAUAUUAUCAUUAUUUUCAAAAGGUGGACAGAACAUAAGAUGGUUCAUGAUUUAGAGAAGUGUGCAUAACUAUUGUGUUGUAUGACAUUGCUGAAAAAACAUGAAUACACAGGAAAUGAUUUACAACUCUUGUUCAUAGCAUUAAAUUGAGAAAUAACAAGAUUUUGAGGGGUGUGGAGGGGUAGUGAAGACCAAAAGGAGGAAUUUUGGACCUUAGGUAACUAUAUAUAAUGAUAUCACUGGAAUUUGUGUUGAUAGAUUGGAUCAAAGAGCUAAAAGCCAAGCAUGUCCCUGGAGCUUUUCUAAAAGAGCUAAAUGCUGAACAUGUCCCUUGAGCUAUCCUAGAACAGUUUAACAUUGAGAGCAUUCUGGAGCAGUAGUCAUCAAGAGUUAGCUUCCCUUAUGCAGCUUCACCUGUUUUAUCCAUUCCCCCAUCCUUAAUUUGUUCCUCCUUCAAGUGUUUAAUAUUCAGCAAAUUCAAAAUGAUCAUCACAUAUGCCAAGAAAUACACCAUUUGGUGAAGAUUGUGAUCCGAGAUUUCCCACCGCCGAAUGCAGAGAAAGAUGCUUGAAGAGCGACAGAUGCAGAGGGGGGACCGAUUCAAUACCUCCGUUGAAGCAGUUUCUUCAAAAAAUUCUCAAAGAGUAAUGUAAACAAACUAUGAUUACUAAAACAAAAGUGUUUUUAAAAUAAUUUGUCAGUAAUUUUGUUUGUUCAGAUUAGUUCCCUUUUUUAACGUCUAAACAAACGUAUCAGGGCUUGGCUAAAAACAAAAAAGAAAACAAAAGUAUUAGGGGUGGGGUGUCAAUCAGCCUGGCCAAGUCAGGCCCGGCCCGGACUGGCCCAAAACCGACAACGCCAUUGUUAUUUGAGUCCGGCGCCCGAGCCGCAUAAUUUAUAAGCUAAGAUUUUAAAGCCCGAUCCGGCCUUAAAACUGUAGGCUUUUUGAACUUUAAACAAAAAAUUAAGUAAAUUAAAAUUUAAAAGUGAAAUAAAUUUAAUUCCAAAAUUAAAUAAUCUUCCAUGUGUUUUCCAAAAUUAAAAUAAAUGUUUUACAUAAUAAACCAAAUAAACAGUAAUAACAAAUAGAAAAAAAACAUUCAACUCUAAUCAACAAAAAAUGUAGGAUUAAGAUCAGAAUAUUUUUCACGACCCCCACAUUCAUGCCAUCAUCAAAAACUACAUAUAAAAUAUAAAACAUCAAAUUUUUGACAUAAAUAUUAAUAGAAAAAUAAAUUUUUAUAAGUAUUAAUGAAUUACCUAGAUCGUAAAUCAUUCUAACCAAGUAUGUGUCUACAAAUUAGUGUUUCAACAUGUCUGGUUAGGAGAAGACUUCAAUAUUUGUUUAAGACAUGGGCCCUAAUACUAAAUGUAGACUUUGACACCACUGUAGUUAUCAUUUGUUUAAGACAUGAACAUCAAUUUUAUAUUUGUUUAAGACAUGAGCAACAAUGCUAAAUCUAUAAUAUAAUGAGUUGCAUCUUUCCUGAGAUGACACGUUAACAUCUUGGUGGAUCCCACUUUUAAAAAAUAUGGAAAAAGUGUCAAGUCUGUGGCACGAAUCCGGGUUAUUGAGAUAUAAACACCAACAUUUAUACCACUAAAUUAAAGGAUACUUUGUACAUUGAUGGCCGAAACUAAUAUAUAUCUAUGAAGGUCGGAAACCUUUAUUUCUUCGGUUUUUUCUGUGGGUCGGGCCUACAAGUGUAUUAUGAGUUUCAUUUUUAAAUGAGGUUCAUCACGUUAUAUGAGAAAACAACAAUUAUAGUUUUUCCAUAUUGUAA